rnacentral:rRNA from 1 species
GACGAACGCUGGCGGCGUGCUUAACACAUGCAAGUCGUGCGGUAAGGCCCUUUCGGGGGUACACGAGCGGCGAACGGGUGAGUAACACGUGCGCAACCUGCCCUUCACUUUGGGAUAACUGCCGGAAACGGUGGCUAAUACCGGAUAUGACUUCCUCACGCAUGUGGGGUGGUGGAAAGCCUUCGGGUGGUGGGGGAUGGGCUCGCGGUCUAUCAGCCUGUUGGGGGGGUGAUGGACUACCAAGGCUUCGACGGGUAGCCGGCCUGAGAGGGUGACCGGCCACACUGGGACUGAGACACGGCCCAGACUCCUACGGGAGGCAGCAGUGGGGAAUAUUGGACAAUGGGCGAAAGCCUGAUCCAGCAACGCCGCGUGAGGGAUGACGGCCUUCGGGUUGUAAACCUCUUUCGCCUGCGACGAAGCGAGAGUGACGGUAGCAGGUAAAGAAGCACCGGCCAACUACGUG